ACUCAAAUGAAUAGACGGGGACCCGCACAAGCAGUGGAGUAUGUGGUUUAAUUCGAAGCAACGCGAAGAACCUUACCAGGGCUUGACAUGGGGACGACAGGUGCAGAGAUGCACCCUUCUUCGGACGUCCCACACAGGUGGUGCAUGGUUGUCGUCAGCUCGUGUCGUGAGAUGUUGGGUUAAGUCCCGCAACGAGCGCAACCCUUAUUGUUAGUUGCUACCAUUAAGUUGAGCACUCUAACGAGACUGCCGGUGACAAAUCGGAGGAAGGUGGGGACGACGUCAAAUCAUCAUGCCCCUUAUGUCCUGGGCUACACACGUACUACAAUGGCCGUCAACAACGGGCAGCGAAAUGGUGACAUGGAGCAAAUCCCCAAAAACGGCCUCAGUUCAGAUUGCAGGCUGAAACUCGCCUGCAUGAAGUAGGAAUUGCUAGUAAUCGCGAAUCAGCAUGUCGCGGUGAAUACGUUCCCGGGUCUUGCACACACCGCCCGU
rnacentral:rRNA from 1 species